AUCUAGUUUAUGUGGAUAGAAGACUAUGUCUGAUGACAAGAGGAUCCUCUGAAGUAGCCACAGUUAGAUAGGAUAUCAAGGGCAUCCAAUAUCUGCAGCCACAUCAAAUACAGUUUGGGUGAUGGAGAGUACGCGCAAAGAAAGCCUAUAAUAAAAUACCUCAUAAAAGGGGACCAGAGAAGCAAUUCAAGAAACAAAGCAUAAACCAACAGUAGAAAAACUCAAUGUGUAACAUUCACAAACAUCAAGGAGAAAGCCUGCUAGAUAAGCGUGGUCUGAGUCAAGCGAUCUGAAACCAUUAGUUGCUUCUGACUAACCAUGACUUUUGACAAGUCUGACUCUCUGCUGGUCUUAACACGGGGGAUGUUACCACUAAAAAAGUUAUUUAGAGACAAUGAAGUCUUUAAAAUUAAAUAAGGAGAAUAUUUUACCCAGAAUUUUAAUCCUUUUGGGACAGAUAAAUCAUAACACAUUUUGGAAGUUUGGAGGCUGUGAUACAUGUGAUGACGUGGAAAUGUCCAGCAAUAUAACCAGGCUGUGACAUCCUUCUGUCUUUUUCUUUUUUCUCUUUUUCUGAUACUGACAGCAAAACAGACAUGCUUACUUUGCCUUUUCCUUACACCGUUACCUGAUCCCUGAUCCUGUCUUGCAGGAGUUUGCAAGACAAGGAGUUUGUGGAGAAGGCACAGCUCUUGUAACAAGGAAGCAGGAGAACAUUAAGAUGAUUAUGCUUUGAGUCACACAUCAUGAAGCUAUGUGAGAACCAUGGCCUUAUCUGUGAGAGAAGGAGUCAAAUACAGUUGCAACUCAGUUAAAGUCCUAAAGUAAUUACUAAAUACUUUUUGUUCUGAAAAGCUGACCUAGACCUGGGCAAGUGCUACCAAUGCUUCAUUUCGGUAUUGCCUACACCCACAACUAUAUCCUGCCCAACAGUGCAUCUCCAUUAUUUAAAUAGGUAUUCAAAGAGGAGUACGUGCAAGGCAUAUCUCAGCAUUUCAAGACAAGAAGUUCUUUGCUGUGGAGUUCUCCUUUAAUCAACUUUCUUCUGGUUUGUCAAACCAACAGGAUGGUCUGCAGUCAGGGCUCCAGGAUACAGCUUCCAGCUACCAAGCUUAUUCCUGGGAGCAUCUCUCUGUCUCUGCUUGUCUGGAAAUAGGGAAGGGAAUGAAGGACAUGGACCUUGUUGUGAUCCUUGUGGCCAUGCUGCACAUUGAUGUGAUGUACCAGACACUAUUGCUGAGGGAAGGGCAAAACCAUACUCCAUCUGCCUUAAGGAACAUCCAACUCAUGUUUGUCUUGAGAAGGGACAGGUGCUAUGAAGAGGAAGCUCCUUUCUAGCACUAUUGUAGUAGUACACUCUGAGGGUGUGAAAGAGUGGGAAAUACAAACAACUGGGGGCCUGAGAUGCCAGGUUAUUGUUACUGCCUUUGACCUUGGCAUGUCUGUCUCGCGACUCCUAAUACAUUCUCAUUGGGAAGCUGCAUCUCCACAAAAAUCAGAGUUAAUGGGCUGCUGAUAGGCCUUAUUUUUCUUUAUUAUUUCCUCACUUAUCUUUACUGGCCACUCACUUGCA
ensembl:lncRNA